AUGGUAACAAAAAUAAUGGAUGUUUGUUCCAGCAAAAAUCAAAACAGUCAUAGCAAAAAGAAAUUAUGCUUGCAACAACAAAAAGAAAAUAGUUCCAGCAAAAGUACUUGUCGUUCCAGCAAAACUAUGAAUCAUCGUCGCUGGGUCGUAGCAAAAAAAUCGAUGUUUCCAACCAAAAAACUGCUGGUUCCAGCAAUGAUGGAUCGCUGCCGUGGCCGUCGCAACACGGCUAUCGCCGGUUCCAGAGCAUUUGUUUUGCUGGUUGCAACUUCACCUGCCUACGGUUGUAGCUCAAUGAUGGAUCGCCGCCGUGGCCGUCGCAACACGGCUAUCGCCAGUUCCAGCAUUUGUUUUGCUGGUUGCAACUCCACCGGCCUACGGUUGUAG
rnacentral:rRNA from 1 species